rnacentral:rRNA from 1 species
AACGCGAAGAACCUUACCUGGGCUCGAAAUGUUAUGGACCGGAGUAGAAAUAUUCCUUCCCCGCAAGGGGCCGUAAUAUAGGUGCUGCAUGGCUGUCGUCAGCUCGUGUCGUGAGAUGUUGGGUUAAGUCCCGCAACGAGCGCAACCCUUAUCCCCAGUUGCCAUCAUUAAGUUGGGCACUCUGGUGAAACCGCCUCGGAUAACGGGGAGGAAGGUGGGGAUGACGUCAAGUCCUCAUGGCCUUUAUGUCCAGGGCUACACACGUGCUACAAUGGCCGGUACAAACCGUCGCAAACCCGUGAGGGGGAGCUAAUCGGAAAAAGCCGGCCUCAGUUCGGAUCGCAGUCUGCAACUCGACUGCGUGAAGCUGGAAUCGCUAGUAAUCGCGGAUCAGAACGCCGCGGUGAAUACGUUCCCGGGCCUUGUA